GGACGCCAUCUCGACGGCCGUGAACAGUCUCCUGCCGCUGUAAGACUGUUGUGACAGCCGUGUAACUGGCAAGUCUCACCUCUACCACGGCUGGUGAGAGGACAGAGCAGGUCUCACCAGGCCUUGGGUACAAUGUCGACCUGGUAACAUGGGAAUUACAGUGUUCCACUUGCCCAUCCACAGCAGGGAUGCUCACUGAGUUCCCUCACAACCACACAGUAGCUUUGAAGUACAUGGAUCCUGGGAUUCCAGCUCUUCCGUGUCUCAAGGAAAUUGCAGGUUGGAAUUUAAGAGUGAAAAUUCUGGGAAGGGGUGUUGGGAUGCCUUUCCCCUUGGGCCAUCUGCAUGCCCCCUUUUGAAUGUCUGACCCAGCUUCUGACAAGGAGGGGCCACCUUCCCUGCUGUCUGGCACAGAGGUUUUCCUCUGCAGCAAGAAGAUUAUCAAUGAGUCAUUUCCUUCCUUUCUUAAACUUCCUGGACAUUUUCUUGUUUAUUUUAGCUUUCCACAGAGGACUCUAACAGGAGCUUAUGUGGGGUUUCCUCUGUGCUCAUUAGUUUGUGAAACUAUUUCAAUUCAAAGUAUGUUAUCUUGAAUGUUCAUGCUCUAAUUAUUCUUUUUAUGUAUUUUGCUUCAAAAUGAGUUUCCUUAGUUUUGUUUCCAGAACUGUAUACAAUUUGUUUAUGUUUUGAUAUUUUGUGGUAAGUAUCAACAUAAAUUAAUUUCAUAGAAAAUAAUGCAUUUAUUUCUUAAGUAUUAAAAAUAAAACAUUAAAGGGUUUCUUUAAAAUAUCUGUACACUGAAUCAAAUUCCUUUCCUAAACCAUACCUGUGGUGUCUCUAGACUGCAUGUCACCAGAUCAUUCUGGAAGGGCAAGAGAAGACCGGGCUGGGGGGCAGGGUUCUCUCCUAUGCUGGUUCUUUUGACUUUGAAAUUUACCAAAACUCUUGCUUUUGUGAUCCCAAGCAGUUUCUUAAGCUUUUUCUACUUUCAACCCUUUUUGCCUGAAAAAUAUUUAAUGUGACUUUGGGUAUACAUAAGAUAUAUAAACUAGGCGCUUAAACCACACAUUUACUGACAAUAAAACAGAAAAAAAAAUUUUAAAAUAAUUCUUUGAAAAAACAAAACAUAAAUACCAAAAAAUCUUUGGCAUAAGCAACCAUUUUAACCAAAUAAUGCAAAUUUGCAUACCAAUGAGAUUAAUGUAGUUGUUUAUUUCUAUAUAAGAAUUAAAUCUUGGCUGAAUUUUUGAUACCACAGGACACAGAGCAUCCAUCUUCAAUAUUUUUCAGAAUUGAUCAAUAUUCUGAUUUUAUAAUCAGCAAAGCUGAGAAUGCUAGAGUUUUUUGCAUAUCUAAAAAAUAAAAUGACAGAAGUAUGUUUGGGACCAUUUCAGAAUUGCUGGAAAUCCUGUUAUAAUUACAGGUCAAAUUUGUUUAAUUGUUUUAUGAAUCUCAAGUCAGCAAUUCAAACAGUGACUUUUAAAAAAUCAAACAUUCCAAGCAAUCCACAGAUCUACUGAAUUGUUUACUUAUCUGUUGAGAAAUAUUGGUAGAAAAAUAGUCAAGGUGGGUUUUUUUUUCUGUAAUUAAACUAUUGUUUCUGUAAGAACAGAAACAUUUGUAGGUCCAGUGAGAACACUAUUAUUUAUAACAUACAAUAUUUGCAAGUCUGAGCUGAGGUUUGGUGACAUCAUGAGCUUUCAUACAGGGGAGCGCUGUCAGGAACACGUUAGAUUCAUCGUGGAUUUUAUUUUGAAUUACUUUUUGGCUUUUGUGCAUUCAAAAAAUUUUAUUGUUGCCAGUUUCUUUUGUGACCCCCAUAUGUGGCUGUGACGUUGGGCUUUAAAGUGCCUGGUUAUUGCUGCUGAGUCCACUGUAAGUAUGUUUGGGCACCAUCAUGACCCUGAUCCCCCAGAGCUUAAAGUAAUGUUACUUUUCAGAAUGAUUAUACGUAUAAAAUAUUUGAUCUUGUAUGCUUUUUCACAGUCUCUUUGUCGAAUGUACUGGUAGAAAAAUAUUUGCUUAGGUGUGAUUUAUCUAGUGUUUCCUCUAACUCCUGUGAGUGGGGAAAAUACUGGAAAAUCAGGAGGAGCAUCCAGUUGAUUCUGGUCUGUUGGGAGCACAACACUAACGUCCCUGUGCCCACAGAUCUUCAGAGAAACCAGGAAUGUUAAGCACACGGGAUUGUCUUUCCAAUGGGAAAGACGAAAAACCUGUUCUUCCAUCAAGAAAGCUGAAAAUUGGAAAUGAUUAACUGCCUGGUGAUCUGUGUUAUCUGUUGGGCCAGGCCAUAUCAAGCUCCCACAACCAGGACCAGAGGUGGCUAGUAAUCUAAAUGACCCUUAUAGACAGAGGUGCUCCCAAGCUCCCACAACCAGGAUCAGAGGUGGCUAACAGCCCAAGUGACCUCUACAUAUCUGUAUGACAGAGACCAGAGCAGACCUUUAGGCCCUUAAGCUAGUACAGGUAGCCUAUCUCUAGAACUCAUCUUCUUGGAAGAAAUGGCAUGUACCGAGUUGAGUUUCAGUGUAAUUACGCUUCCUUGUGCAGUGGGGAUCUUAUUACACCAGGAAACAUUUUUUUUUAAUUGUACUGAACUUAAAUACAUUGGGAAUAAACCUCCUCUCAUUAGACCCCCUGAAGUCUGAUCCAGGCUGACAAAGUCAACCUGCAGGAGGUUUUCAGUCUUCUCUCUUCAUGGGGGUUCAAUUUCUUGUAUGACACCUGCAGGGACCCCCUCACUGGUCAGUUUUUUUUUUUUUUAAAAAAAACUAACUUCACAGUUUUUUUCCUUCAUAGUCAUUUUACCCACUUCCUAUUCUUUGUUUUACUUUUUUCUAUUCUCCAAAUGAUUGUGAAUAGUUAAUUAUCUAAUUGACUUAUACAGUUAAAUUUUAUUUUGAAAAUAACAAAUACAGUUGUUUCUACAGGUCCAAUAAAUUCAAAGAGGCUUGUAGGCUGGGUGGUGAUGGCACACGCCUUUAAUCCCAGCACUCGGGAGGCAGAGCCAGGUGGAUCUCUCUGAGUUCAAAGUCAGCCUGGUCUACAGUGGGAUCCAGGACAGGCACCAGAACUACACAGAGAAACUCUGUCUCGAAAAAACAAAUAAAAAAUAAAAAAGAGGGUUGUAGACCACUGCUUGACAUCAAGAUGAGAAGGAAAUGAGUUCUCAGCCCCUGCUAGGAUCUCCCAUCUCUGAUUUUCUGUUCUCUACUCUUUCACACUGUCUGUUCUCACAAAGACAUGUGAAGACCCCAGCGUGCUAUCCAGUGUGAGAGCAGGUCCUGCAUCACGGCCUCUGUCUCUAAUCUGUAUCACUGGUGAUAUCAAAGUCAAAACUAGGGAAAAUAGAUCCUUGAUGAUACCAAUUUCCAUAAGUCUUUCACCCACCGCAAACUUACAAUGUUGCUGCCUUAAAAAUACAAUGUUGCUGCCAUGCCUUCCACUGUCUUUUUGUCUCUAAAUAUAAACAGAGAUCACACACAUUUAAAUCAGUUUUGCCACCAGUAUUGUGGGAUGAGUCACUUUUUUCUUUUGUUGACUUAGGAUUUUGGAUGGAAGAGUUUCAGUGGAGGGUUUCUGAACAUAAUAACAAUAUAAGAAUAAUCAUACCAAUAAUUACAAUUUUCUCUUUCCUUAUCUCUUUAUCUUCCAUGGGGGAAGAGAAUGAAUGGCAAAUGACUAGUAGAAACUUUCUGAAUACCAAAUACUUGAACAAUGAAAAGAUUUAGAAAAGUACUCAAGGUUUUUCCUGUACAUGGCAAGAGCAUACCAACUCAACACACAUUUAAUUUUAUUUUUCCUCCCCCAAAGAAAUAUAGAUAUUUAGAAAUCCAGAAUGAAACAUUCAUGUGCUCUAAAAUUUAUAUUAUGUAUCUAUGCACAUGGAUUAUAUGCCUUGCAUAUAAUGUUGCUAUGCAUAUGUCUCUACAAAUACUCCUGGAGAAACCAUGAAGCAUUUAGUGUGAUAGUUUGCAGAGGCCCUUGCUUUCCCAGUUCCCUGAGGGACUUGCUAACAUCACAAGUUUCAUAAACUUAGCAAAUUGUGUCUACAUAACAUAAAUAUUCUUUACAAUGAAUGUAACUGACCUUCUGUGACAUGUGGACAUUGUAUUGUUACUAUGUACCAAGGCUAGUAUUGAAAACAGUAUAGUCUUUAAAAUGUCAGCAUCAUAUUUUAUAUUGUAAAUGUGUGAUGUAUUUUAAUUUUAAUUACUGGAGAAUGUCAUCAUUACUGGACAUGUCAUAUAGCAAAUCAAGCAAUCAUUAAAGUUUUUUUUCUCUAAUGAA